GAGCGGCGGGCCUUGACCUUCGGGAAAAAAAAACUCACGGACGGUGACAGCGAAACGGAUAACAGUCUUCAGUACCUGCUGGACUUUGAAGCUGUGGAUUCUGGGACUGUUAGAAAAGAGGCAGCGGCGAGAGGGGAGACCUCGGCUCAUCCAGCUGGAGAGCCUGACCAGGAGGAGUCGAACAUUAACUGAGCUCUUCCAGGGCACCCUGCAGACUCGGCUGCUGGCAUCGGCGAGCGAUGACGUGAACGCCAAACUGGAGUCCAUCACAGGUCAACUGCAGCUCCUUGUCUCAGAGUGGGAGGGAUUUGAAGCACAAAGGGAGGAACUUGUCAUUUGGUUGGCUGAUAUGGAUGUGAGGUUGACCAGCUGACAGGAAACACCAGUGAAAAACUGAAACAACUGCAGGUGUGGGCUUGUUUUGAUAUGACAUAUACAGGGAGUGCAGAAUUAUUAGGCAAGUUGUAUUUUUGAGGAAUAAUUUUAUUAUUGAACAACAACCAUGUUCUCAAUGAAC
ensembl:lncRNA